rnacentral:rRNA from 1 species
GUCUUUUUGAAUAUAAUUUAAAGUCUUACCUGCCCAGUGAGUAAUUUAACGGCCGCAGUAUUUUGACUGUGCAAAGGUAGCAUAAUCAUUAGUCUUUUAAUUGAAGACUGGAAUGAAAGGUUGGAUAAGAAAUUAACUGUCUCAAAAUUAAUAAUAGAAUUUUAUUUUUAAGUUAAAAAGCUUAAAUUUAAUUUAAAGACGAGAAGACCCUAUAGAAUUUAAUAAGAAUAUAAAAAUUUAUUAAUAAGAUUAUAAUAAUUUAUAUUAUAUAUUAUUUGGUUGGGGUGACUUUAAAAUUAAAAAAACUUUUAAUUUCUUAAAUCAAAAAUUUUUGUUUUAUGGAUCCAUUAUGUAAUGAUAAAAAGAUUAAAUUACCUUAGGGAUAACAGCGUAAUUUUUUUGGAAAGUUCAUAUUUAUAAAAAAGAUUGCGACCUCGAUGUUGGAUUAAAAUAAAUAAUUGGUGUAGAAGCUAAUUUAUUAGGUCUGUUCGACCUUUAAAAUUUUACA